CCUACGGGAUGCUGCAGUGGGGAAUAUUGCACAAUGGGGGAAACCCUGAUGCAGCGACGCCGCGUGAGUGAAGAAGUAAUUCGUUAUGUAAAGCUCUAUCAGCAGGGAAGAAAAUGACGGUACCUGAGUAAGAAGCCCCGGCUAACUACGUGCCAGCAGCCGCGGUAAUACGUAGGGGGCAAGCGUUAUCCGGAUUUACUGGGUGGAAAGGGAGCGUAGACGGCAGUGCAAGUCUGGAGUGAAAGGCGGGGGCUCAACCCCCGGACUGCUCUGGAAACUGUACGGCUGGAGUGCAGGAGAGGUAAGUGGAAUUCCUAGUGUAGCGGUGAAAUGCGUAGAUAUUAGGAGGAACACCAGUGGCGAAGGCGGCUUACUGGACUGUAACUGACGUCGAGGCUCGAAAGCGUGGGGAGCAAACAGGAUUAGAUACCCGGGUAGUC
rnacentral:rRNA from 1 species